rnacentral:rRNA from 1 species
ACGUAGGUGGCGAGCGUUGUCCGGAUUUACUGGGCGUAAAGAGCGCGCAGGCGGUCGAGUUAGUCGAAUGUGAAAGCCCCCGGCUCAACUGGGGAGGGUCAUUCGAUACUGCUCGACUCGAAGGCAGGAGAGGGAAGUGGAAUUCCCGGUGUAGUGGUGAAAUGCGUAGAUAUCGGGAGGAACACCAGUGGCGAAGGCGACUUCCUGGCCUGUUCUUGACGCUGAGGCGCGAAAGCUAGGGUAGCAAACGGGAUUAGAUACCCCGGUAGUCCUAGCCGUAAACGAUGGACACUAGGUGUUGGCGGUAUCAACCCCGCCAGUGCCGUAGCUAACGCAUUAAGUGUCCCGCCUGGGGAGUACGGCCGCAAGGCUA